ensembl:snRNA U6 U6 spliceosomal RNA
GUUCUUUUUGGCAGCACAUAUACUAAAAUUUGAAUGGUGCAGAAGAGAAUAGCAUGACCUUUACAGAAGGAUGACACACAAAUUCGUGAAGCCAACACAUUUUUU